rnacentral:rRNA from 1 species
UACGUAGGGUGCGAGCGUUAAUCGGAAUUACUGGGCGUAAAGGGUGCGCAGGCGGUUUUGUAAGCCAGAUGUGAAAUCCCCGGGCUCAACCUGGGAAUGGCAUUUGGGACUGCAAGGCUAGAGUGUGGCAGAGGAGACUGGAAUUCCUGGUGUGGCAGUGAAAUGCGUAGAUAUCAGGAGGAAUACCGAUGGCGAAGGCAGGUCUCUGGGCUGACACUGACGCUCACGCACGAAAGCGUGGGGAGCAAACAGG